rnacentral:rRNA from 1 species
UAUAGUCAAGUAAUUAAGUGCAUGUGGUGGAUGCCUUGGCAGUCAGAGGCGAUGAAAGACGUGAUAGCCUGCGAAAAGCUCCGGGGAGGCGGCAAAUAUCCUUUGAUCCGGAGAUGUCUGAAUGGGGGAACCC